AACUGAUACUACCUGCGGGAACCUGCGGAAGGAUCAUUACUGAAGUGCUUGGAGAUGUUGCUGGCUUCUUCUUAGGAGCAGUGUGCACUCUUCCAACUUUACGCAAUUUCCUUCACACCCCUUGUGCACUCCCUGUAGGGUAACCCCUCUCACAUGAACCUUGGGAGGGGGGAGACUCUAUGUUGCUUUUGCUAUCCUUCACACUUCAUAAAAUGUAUGGUGAUGUUGAAUUAGAAACAA
rnacentral:misc_RNA from 1 species